UACGGAGGGUGCAAGCGUUAUCCGGAUUUACUGGGUUUAAAGGGUGCGUAGGCGGACUAUUAAGUCAAAUGUGAAAGCUUGCAGCUUAACUGUAAGAUUGCGUUUGAUACUGGUAGUCUUGAAUAUGGUAGAAGUUGGCGGAAUAAAUCAUGUAGCGGUGAAAUGCUUAGAUAUGAUUUAGAACACCGAUUGCGAAGGCAGCUAGCUAUGUCAUAAUUGACGCUGAGGCACGAAAGCGUGGGGAUCAAACAGG
rnacentral:rRNA from 1 species